GUUAACAGAUUAAUCAUGUUUCCCAUCAUCAGUCAUCAUUCUCGAACGUUCGAUACACUUCCAGAUUACGAAGACCAUGACCCUGGACUUUGGUCGAGGGUCCUUGUUUUCUUCGAAUGCACCGCGAUAAAGAGGAAAGGACGGAUUCGUCCUCUGCCAUCGCCUCAUUCGAGCUUUGACCAUCGCUGUGUUGACUGCAACUUUAAAACGGACCCUGACUCUCUCCUGUUUUCCAGCAACCUACAACUACUAAUCUACUAUUUGACAAAAAGAUUUUAAAAAGUACAUCACGAUGAAAUACUUCAGCCUGAGCGUAUUUUUGGCCGUCCUUGUGGUGAUCUUAGGAAUGGUUCAAGGGAAGAAAAUUACGCGGUGCGGUAGCGGAAUUGGUGGAAACAUGUGGGAUGGAAAGGCGACGGGUAACUGCGGCUCGAAACUUGGAUUUUACUGCUACAACUUCUCCUUCAACCAAUACUGCGAGACGCUCGACGAUGCCAGAGAACAGCAAAUGAGACAAUGUUGUGAACAGGAAGGAAGACGUGGAAUCAAGUCUCAGGAAAUUUAAUCCACGAGCAGCGCGCCGAGCCGUUUUUAAGUUUUAAGUAAGUUUCAUGGACUCAAACCGACUCGCUACUUUGUACUUAUUACCAGUUUUUCAUAGAUUUGUUGUGAUAUUUUAGCUUUUUACUUGUUACUAUUGUAAUUUUUUACGACUGAAUAUUUCAUUACCUACCAUAACUUAUUUUAACCAAUUAGUGUCAUAAAAAUGACUUUUGAGACUUGCAGACUUAAAGUUUAGAGGAAAAACAAUUUCAUGCUUAGUUGAAUUGAACAAAUGAUUUUCUGCGUUCCAAAUGAAUAAAUGUAGAUUUUAAUAAAAGAAAUACUUAUUAAGAAAUAAA